UACGGGGGGAGCAAGCGUUGUUCGGAUUUACUGGGCGUAAAGGGCGCGUAGGCGGCCACCGCAAGUCAGUUGUGAAAUCUCUGGGCUUAACCCAGAAAGGUCAACUGAUACUGCGGGGCUAGAGUGCAGAAGGGGCAACUGGAAUUCUCGGUGUAGCGGUGAAAUGCGUAGAUAUCAGGAAGAACACCCGUGGCGAAAGCGGCUCUCUGGAACGGUACUGACGCUGAGACGCGAAAGCGUGGGGAGCGAACAGG
rnacentral:rRNA from 1 species